CAGCAUAAAACCAACAAACAAGGUUGAGUUUAAACAAUAUUUGAAGGGCAUCAUAUCAACAUAUAGGCUAUGUCAGUGAUCUCACUGAGGUUGAAACAUGUCACUAUAUAUGUUAUUUAUAUUUGCACAGGUUUGGGGGGAUAUUCAUAUAUUUAUUGUAUAUAUUUGUGGGGCGAUUGCUUACAAAAAACAAGUGUCACACGUAAGUUCAGCACUCUGAUGUGAGAGGAGCUUUUUGCAACAAAUCAUGCCAUUUCUAGGCUGAUAGUCUGUAGACUGGAGUCAGAAAACUGCAUAAUUUAAACCUCAUUGCAGUAUGCAACUAUUAAAAUACUGGUUAUCUGUAUUCAAGAUGUUGUACUGCUAAUUGUCAAUAUUAAAUUAGCGUCCUAUUACAGAAGUAUUUAGGUAUUAACCAGCCUAAUACUAAGAAUAACCAAGUUAGUUAGCUAAGUUAUUAAUAUGUGACUCUGUUUACUGUGUCUGCAGAUGGCAUUGCCUAUGUUGAUGUGUGAUCAUCAGACAAAACUACAAACUGUUUGAAACCAUUUGUUCAGCAGCUGUAGCCAAUGGGAGCUCAGAUUAGACUGCAGCGCACAUUUGCACUAUAUUGUAUACCAUUGACUGUAUUUACAGAAAAUGAAUAUGUAUACUUUGCAAAACUUAAAUGCCUUUUCUCUUAUAGGUAUCAAAAACAUUCAAUAAAAAGGCACACAUGUAUUCUUCAACGACGGUCACCCAGCCACAUGGAGGAAAGCCAAGGAAUGAGAUGUAAGGCUCGUCUCUGUGAUCUUGGUAGGCUGGUAAGAAUAACAGAAUUGUGUACUUUUUCAACUCAAAUUAUAUAUUUUUUGAUUGUAUUGUUAUAAAGAUGAUGUUGUUAAUCAUUACUUGAUCUCUUUGUGGCUUAUAUUUGGUGAAAUGACGUCCCGAUGUUACGACGAUGGGGUGUAUGGGGAUGAGGAGUUGCAUCCGGCCUUUCAUGAUGAAAGCAAUCCUGUGUUGAAGAACAAGAAACUUACCGCCACCUGAUUCAAAAAGACCUCCUUUGCCCACCCAUGGAGAGAGACAUUCAAGAUGAGAAAACAAAGAAGUGAAACCUUUGGAUGAGAAACUAAUAGUAAAAGGAAGAGGAAACUGGAAAAAAGCAGUGAGCCUUAAGGUCAUCCACAACGGGACGUUUAAGAAUCUCUGCCUGCUUUGCAGAGUCCACAUGCCAAUGUUACACUUGUGUCUAAAAAGAAAAACAAAGCCCCGAGCUAUUUACAAGCACCAGUACAAGUCCAGGUGAAGCAGUGAAACAGAAGAACAUAUGCAUCAGUACAACCAACAGUGUUCACAGAGGCUUAAAUAAGGCUAGAAAAUGUAUAUUAAUAAUAAUUUUCCUUUUUAUAUUCAUCAUUAUGGCCUGAACAAAACUAAAUAGUUCUAAUGGCGUUUGAACUUCCACAAUGGUGGAGGUUUUUACAUAGGUCUGUAAUCCCUGGGUCAUGUGUGUGUUUGCAACAGAAUCAUUCUAAUCAGGGAAAACUCAUUUACUCUUCCUAGUUUUCUGGAGGAAAAUUUCGGGCUCAUAUUCUAAAAAGAAAAUUAAAAAAAUAUUAAUUUUGAUGUAUGAACUGAACUGAACUGAGGCCUUUUCUAGAGGAAUAGUCUCGUAGUAUAUCUGUGUUUGUCUUUAGGACUCUGCUGUUCCAGUCCUGUGGUCCAUUACGGUUGGUCCUGCUAUGUUAGCCUCCGCAAAAACCUACUGGACCGCACCAGGACCCCAGAGAGCCGGUUUCAAAGGAAUGUGUCAUUUCAAACUAAUCUGUUGUCACUAUUAUAUGCUUCAUACUAAUUGUAUACAUUACUUUUACAUAAUUGUAUUAGUUACAAUAUGCAGGUUUUUUUUUAUGGUACCAAUAUUAUUGUACCAUUUAUAUGAUACUAACAGGAACUGAUCAAACAUGUGCCUUUUUGGAUAUCAAUUAAACGGUGACUUUACUCCUUCUA